rnacentral:rRNA from 1 species
AGCAGUAGCCACGGGAAUACGAGGGGGGCAAGCGUUGUUCGGAAUUAUUGGGCGCAAAGGGUGCGUAGGCGGUUCAGCAAGUCUCGUGUGAAGUCUUCGGGCUCAACCCGAAGUCUGCACGGGAAACUACUGGGCUUGAGUAAUGGAGAGGUGAGUGGAAUUUCCGGUGUAGCGGUGAAAUGCGUAGAUAUCGGAAGGAACACCUGUGGCGAAAGCGGCUCACUGGACAAUAACUGACGCUGAUGCACGAAAGCUAGGGGAGCAAACAGGAUUAGAUACCCGCGUAGUCCCUGUCUCUUAUAC